rnacentral:rRNA from 1 species
CGGUCCUAAGGUAGCGAAAUUCCUUGUCGGGUAAGUUCCGACCUGCACGAAUGGCAUAAUGAUGGCCACACUGUCUCCUCCCGAGACUCAGUGAAGUUGAAAUGUUUGUGAUGAUGCAAUCUCCCCGCGGCUAGACGGAAAGACCCCAUGAACCUUUACUGUAGCUUUGCAUUGGACUUUGAACCGAUUUGUGUAGGAUAGGCGGGAGGCAGAGAAAGCGCAACGCCAGUUGUGCCGGAGCCGACGUUGAAAUACCGCCCUGAUUUGUUUGAGGUUCUAACCGCGACCCGUGAGCCGGGUUCGGGACCGUGCAUGGCAGGCAGUUUGACUGGGGCGGUCUCCUCCUAAAGGGUAACGGAGGAGUACAAAGGUACGCUAGGUACGGUCGGAAAUCGUGCUGAUAGUGCAAAGGCAAAAGCGUGCUUGACUGCGAGACCGACAAGUCGAGCAGAUGCGAAAGCAGGUCUUAGUGAUCCGGUGGCUCUGUAUGGAAGGGCCAUCGCUCAACGGAUAAAAGGUACUCUGGGGAUAACAGGCUGAUACCGCCCAAGAGUUCAUAUCGACGGCGGUGUUUGGCACCUCGAUGUCGGCUCAUCUCAUCCUGGGGCUGUAGCCGGUCCCAAGGGUAUGGCUGUUCGCCAUUUAAAGAGGUACGUGAGCUGGGUUUAAAACGUCGUGAGACAGUUUGGUCCCUAUCUGCCGUGGGCGUUGGAAGAUUGACGGGGGCUGCUCCUAGUACGAGAGGACCGGAGUGGACGCACCUCUGGUGUACCGGUUGUCACGCCAGUGGCAUCGCCGGGUAGCUAUGUGCGGAAGAGAUAACCGCUGAAAGCAUCUAAGCGGGAAACUUGCCUGAAGAUAAGUCUUCCCGGAGGCUAGACCUCCCUGAAGAGUCGUUCGAGACCAGGACGUUGAUAGGUCGGGUGUGUAAGCGUUGUGAGACGUUUAGCUAACCGAUACUAAUUGCUCGUGAGGCUUGAUCCU